rnacentral:rRNA from 1 species
UACGUAGGAGACGAGCGUUGUCCGGAGUUACUGGGCGUAAAGGGUGCGCAGGUGGCGGCGCGCGUGGGGGGUGAAAUCGCCCGGCUUAACUGGGCGGGGGCCUUCCAGACGGCGUGGCUUGAGCAGCGGAGGGGGACGUGGAAUUCCAGGUGUAGCGGUGAAAUGCGUAGAUAUCUGGAGGAACACCGGUGGCGAAGGCGGCAUCCUGGACCAACACUGACACUGAAAAGCGAAAGCCAGGGGAGCAAACGGG